rnacentral:rRNA from 1 species
UACGAAGGGGGCUAGCGUUGCUCGGAAUCACUGGGCGUAAAGGGCGCGUAGGCGGCCAUUCAAGUCGGGGGUGAAAGCCUGUGGCUCAACCACAGAAUUGCCUUCGAUACUGUUUGGCUUGAGUUUGGUAGAGGUUGGUGGAACUGCGAGUGUAGAGGUGAAAUUCGUAGAUAUUCGCAAAGAACACCAGUGGCGAAGGCGGCCAACUGGACCAACACUGACGCUGAGGCG